rnacentral:lncRNA from 10 species
GGCCUCCCAAAGUGCUAGGAUUGCAGGCGUGAGCCAACCGCGCCUGGCCGCCCCUUGAAUAUUUUUUAAGAUAGUAAUUCCAAGCUUUAUCUAAGAUGAAGCAUUUUUUAGCCAAUCAAUUUUUUAAAUUUUUUUAUUUUUUGGAAACAGAGUCUCACUCUGUCACUCAAGCUGGAGUGAAGUGGCACUAUCAUGGCUCACUACAACCUCUGCCUCCUGGACUCAAGCAAUCCUCCCACCUCAGCCUCCGGAGUAAUUGGGAAUACAGGUGCACACCACCACGCCCAGUCUAAUUUUUUUUUUUUUGAGACGGAGUCUCAC